AAUUACAAUGGAGUAGGCAAAAGUAAAAACAGAUCUAGGACCAGGCUAUUGUUGUGAGUAGAGGUCCUGCCUUCCUUUUUUUUUAAUGAGUGAUGGCUUAUCAGCAAAUCACGUGAGAGUUAGUGCUGAGCGAUUUAGUGCUUUUUGAGGUCGGUUCGGUUUCGUUUCUAUUAUUGAAAAAUAAUCACAGUUUAAGAUUUCAGUUUGGAUUGUUUUCAUUUCAGAAAGGAAACACCACAUGUACGUUUAAACAUGUAUUAGAAAAUAUAACAAUGAAUAGUUUUAGCGUUAGAGCUCUGCUCCUUCCGGGUAGCUCACUGCCAGAGAGAAGCGUCAUAUGAAGAUGAUAAUAACUACAGGCAGUGAGCACGAUAUGCGAUAUAAAAUCCCCUGAAGGAAGAAACACGGAACCCAGACCGGUGGAAGCUGCGGUGGUGGUGGGAUAUCAGCAACAGCAAGCAUAGAUUCUCACACUGAGCUUUCUCAGAAGAGAUGUCUGUCCUCAUGUUUGCUGAUUGGUCCCAGAGCCGAGAAACUGUCAGAGACUGAGGUCAGAGUGAGGAGAGAAGAGGACAAGAGGAGAAAGGAGAGGACAAGAGAAGAGAAGACAAGAGAAGAGAAGAGAGGAGAGGAGUAGAAGAGGAGAAGAAAGAUGGAUAGGAGGAGGAAGGGAAGGAGAGCAGAGUGGGGAGCUGAAUCAAUAGUCCAGAGAAUCUGCAUUCUUCCACUGAACUGUCUGACUCAGUGAUAAGUGUUCCUAAUUGUGUAAUCACUGGCAUUGGUAUGAGUAGUUGUGUAAUAACAGUCGUUUAACACAAUAUCUCAUCUCACUCCCACUCAGUGUAUCAGUACGUAUUCACACCUGUUUUCUUGACGUCUUAUUGAAAUAACUCACUUUUUGGCAUCGGUUUGUGUUUAACAUUGUACAUUUUUGUGACACCAAAUAAUUUCAUCACCAUAUGUUUUUUGCCAAAACUCAGUUUAGGUACUAUUCAUAGGUUAUAAUAGAAUGAUAUGAUAUGAAGCUAAACACAUUAGCAUGUUUAGUUAAUUUACUGUAAGUUAACUGAUGUGUUUGUAAUUUCGGGGUACAGUAGAAUAUUGACAUCAGACCUUAGUAUUUUUCUGUAAGAGAGAAGGGAGAGGCCCUUUGAUCUGCGGCCUAUAGAGUAUCAGCCCUAUCCCUGCUGCAAAGGCUUCUGGGAUGCUGGAGGAACCACAGGUCCAGAGAAAACACACUCCAAGCCUACUCUUUGAGCACUGGAUUUUACAAGCCAAACAAGUGGUCGGGCCUUCCCCCAUGUCAAAUAAAUAUGAUGUCAAACAGA